rnacentral:tRNA from 1 species
AUCUGCCUGGCUCAGUUCGUAGAGCAUGUGAUUCUUGAUCCCAGGGCCAUGAGUUCAAGUCUCAUGCUGGGUG